CCUACGGGUGGCAGCAGUGGGGAAUAUUGCACAAUGGGGGAAACCCUGAUGCAGCGACGCCGCGUGAGUGAAGAAGUAUCUCGGUACGUAAAGCUCUAUUAGCAGGGAAGAAAAUGACGGUACCUGACUAAGAAGCCCCGGCUAAUUACGUUCCAGCAGCCGCGGUAAUACGGAGGGGGCAAGCGUUAUCCGGAUUUACUGGGUGUAAGGGGAGCGUAGACGGCAGCGCAAGUCGGGAGUGAAAUCCCUUGGCUUAACCAUGGAACUGCUUUGGAAACCGUGCAACUGGAGUGCAGGAGAGGUAAGCGGAAUUCCUGGUGUAGCGGUGAAAUGCGUAGAUAUUAGGAGGAACACCGAUUGCGAAGGCAGCUUACCAAGCUACUUCUGACGUUGAGGCACGAAAGCGUGGGUAGCAAACAGGAUUAGAUACCCUUGUAGUC
rnacentral:rRNA from 1 species